AGAGAUCCCUGUGUGCCUGAGGCCUUCUGAAGGUGGUUUUAGCUGGGCUGUUGUAUAAAACUUGUGGUUGCUGUAGAGUGAGCCUGAGAAGAGGAAGGAGUGAGAAGGAGUGGUGUUGCAUAUAAAGCAUUAACCAAGAACUCCCUCUUGAACAGCAAGAUCACGAAAGCCACUGUUUCUGGUCUCUGCUGCAGCACUCUGCGCUCAGAGCCCAGCUCUGGGCUGGAUCCUGCUGCAGAACCACCCAGGAGAUGGUGCUCUUGAACCAGAGAUAGAUGCAGCGCUGACCCAGAGGCAUCCUCGAACGCAGCCCUCCCUGUUUUCCCUUUGUGUUGCAUGCUCUUCUUUGGGGUUCCCAUUUCCUAUGGGGAGAAGAAUGUGAUGAUGUUGAGCCCGGAGCGUAUUUCCAUCUGAUCCGUAAUGCGAUUUCCAGCCUGGUGAUCCUAGGCUCCUGCCUGAAAUGACGCUGGUGCUUGUAGGAGGUGUUUUUCCCUGGACUGUGAGACUAGUGAGAUGCUGAAGCUGAACACGGAGCAGAUUUGCAGCUGAUUGCCCUGAUUGGAGCCUGGGAUGCGCUGUGCCCAAGCCAAGCAUCUGAGGGGUGCCAGCUCCAUUGCUGCCAGGGCUGGGAAAAGCACGGCCGUGCGUGGGGCUCCCUGUGGCCUCCUCAGUGGGACAGCCUUUCACUGCUGACACGUGUCUCAGAGAUAAAACAUCAUAACUUUACAGCACACACACAAACAUCUAUGGAAAUGAAAAUACUCUUUUGCUCCAAUCCUCUGGACAAUUCCAGUCUUCACAGAUCUGGGUGGUAGCAUCUCUUCUUGCCUGCCUUCCUUCUGAAAACAUAGAAAUCCCACUAAGGCCCAAACUGAUCUCGCAUCUUGUAAUGAAAAGAUCACCACCACAACAUGAUGCCAGGAGCAGUGCCAGGCUCUUGAAACCCAGCUCUGGUAGAGGAUUCCUACUGCAGCUCUCUAGCAAAAUCAAGAACUGAGUCCAGAUUCCUUGGUUGCAGCUCUAUGCUAGAAAGACAAGGCUGUCUGCGAUAGUUCUGCAUGUACACAGAACUAGACAGUCAUCAGGACAGGUUUUCCCCUACACUUUCAUUGUAAGUUUCAUUGCUGUCCAUUAAAGGUGUUGCCAAGGCUUGUUCUGC
ensembl:lncRNA